rnacentral:lncRNA from 1 species
GUUUUUAGCUUCUUUUGAAAAACAGAGACAGACCAUUCCAAGGCCACUCCUUCGACCAAGUGGCCGUACAAAUGGGAUCCAAGUUAAAGGAGCUUUGCAGUGUUCCCGCACUCCCUUCUUCUGUCUGGUUUUCUUCCCAGAUGUAUUUGUUCUGUUGAUCACUGGGCUAAACAAAGAAUCUCUACUCUCCAAUGCUUGGGAUUUGCAGGUUUUCAGUGUGGCAUGAUAAGCAGGUCCCCCUUAACUUCUUGUUUUUGACAUCUAUGGAAAUGAACACCGUGAAGAUGUGGCGGCUUUCUCAUGGGGCUUUUACAGACAGAGCAGUUCCCUAGCAAAGUGACAUUUCAGAUUCAAGGAGGCAAGCCAAGUCAUAAUUGGCCCUGUCACCAUCUGAGGUUGACACUGGCACCUCUUGUGUUUGCCCUGGUUGAGUAAUCUGUUUGUGUCUGAGGAGGCCACACACAGGCAGAUGUGAGCUCUGUUUACAUCCAUUUUCUGCUUAGAAACUUGGUUCCUCUGGGUCACAGCUCUGGAACAACUGAAAGAUUGGAAAUUUACUGGUACGAACUUGGUCAGAAUGACUUCCCUGGAGCUGGUUGUGGUAGUCGACCUUCACUUUCCCCGGGUUUCAGCAAAGGAGACUUCUGACUGACAGCCCAGGCGACGACAGCAGCUGUUAUUCCAGUGACAGAAUCCACUCAAGAGAGUUGGGACCGAGGUUAUCAAGGAGCUGAGUUCUGAGUUCAGGUGCCCACGUGGCAGAGGAAUGACGCCUCCUGGCCCUUCAGACCUUUGAGACGGCCGGGAGGCCCUAGAAAUCACCUCAAGUCUCCAGUCCAGGACACAGCUGCCUAGGGGAGUCCCAGGGAAAGGCGGCAGAGAUUGCAUGGCCCGUGGCGGACUCCAGCGCAACCUCUGCGGAAUCUACCUGAUUCCAAACCACUGGCACUUCCGGCACACAAAGCCCCUAGCGAAGAGGAGGCAAGAGAAGCCAGCUAGGAAGAGGCCCAUCACUUGGCUACAAAGCAGAUGGACCACCUCCUCAGGGCUCCUGGAAACUGCUGAAGCACAAUGAGGGAGGUGACAUCACUCACAGGAAGGAAUCAAGCAUUUACAGUGGACUUGAGACUGCAUCCUUCAGACUGAAGUCCUGAGGCCCAGUUCUGAGUCAGACUCUCUCUCUCUCUCUCUCUCUCUCUCUCUCUCUCUCUCUCUCUCUCAUUUUUCUUUUCUUGGCUCAGGAAAUUUUAACCAGGAAUUGCUUUAAUAGGUAUAAUUAGCUAUAGUUUUGUUCCCUAAUCAGCCUUGUUUCUAAACACAUUACUAGGAAUCUAGGAGGGUCCAACCAGCGCCACAGCAUAUUAGCUGAAGAAUCCAGAGUCUACUCUUGGAGUUCAUAAGUCCCACUAAUAAAAAUAAUAUAAGAGCUGACCCA